rnacentral:rRNA from 1 species
ACCCCUGAUGCCGUCGAGCCAAGAAAAGUUUCUAAGUUUAGCUAAUGUUGCCCGUACCGUAAACCGACACAGGUGGGUGGGAUGAGUAUUCUAAGGCGCGUGGAAGAACUCUCUUUAAGGAACUCUGCAAAAUAGCACCGUAUCUUCGGUAUAAGGUGUGGUUCGCUUCGUAUUAGGAUUUACUCCGAAAGCGAAGAAACUUACAACAAAGAGUCCCUCCCGACUGUUUACCAAAAACACAGCACUCUGCUAACUCGUAAGAGGAUGUAUAGGGUGUGACGCCUGCCCGGUGCUCGAAGGUUAAUUGAUGGGGUUAGCAUUAGCGAAGCUCUUGAUCGAAGCCCGAGUAAACGGCGGCCGUAACUAUAACGGUCCUAAGGUAGCGAAAUUCCUUGUCGGUUAAAUACCGACCUGCAUGAAUGGCGUAACGAGAUGGGAGCUGUCUCAAAGAGGGAUCCAGUGAAAUUGUAGUGGAGGUGAAAAUUCCUCCUACCCGCGGCAAGACGGAAAGACCCCGUGGACCUUUACUACAGCUUGACACUGCUAUUUGGAUAAGAAUGUGCAGGAUAGGUGGGAGGCUUUGAGUAUAUGACGCCAGUUGUAUAUGAGCCAUUGUUGAGAUACCACUCUUUCUUAUUUGGGUAGCUAACCAGCUUGAGUUAUCCUCAAGUGGGACAAUGUCUGGUGGGUAGUUUGACUGGGGCGGUCGCCUCCCAAAUAAUAACGGAGGCUUACAAAGGUUGGCUCAGAACGGUUGGAAAUCGUUCGUAGAGUAUAAAGGUAUAAGCCAGCUUAACUGCAAGACAUACAAGUCAAGCAGAGACGAAAGUCGGUCUUAGUGAUCCGGUGGUUCUGUGUGGAAGGGCCAUCGCUCAAAGGAUAAAAGGUACCCCGGGGAUAACAGGCUGAUCUCCCCCAAGAGCUCACAUCGACGGGGAGGUUUGGCACCUCGAUGUCGGCUCAUCGCAUCCUGGGGCUGGAGCAGGUCCCAAGGGUAUGGCUGUUCGCCAUUUAAAGCGGUACGCGAGCUGGGUUCAGAACGUCGUGAGACAGUUCGGUCCCUAUCUGCCGUGGGCGUAAGAAGAUUGAAGAGAUUUGACCCUAGUACGAGAGGACCGGGUUGAACAAACCACUGGUGUAGCUGUUGUUCUGCCAAGAGCAUCGCAGCGUAGCUAAGUUUGGAAAGGAUAAACGCUGAAAGCAUCUAAGCGUGAAGCCAACUCUAAGAUGAAUCUUCUCUAAGCUCUCUAGAAGACUACUAGUUUGAUAGGCUGGGUGUGUAAUGGAUGAAAGUCCUUUAGCUGACCAGUACUAAUAGAGCGUUUGGCUUAUCU